rnacentral:misc_RNA from 1 species
AAGUCGUAACAAGGUUUCCGUAGGUGAACCUGCGGAAGGAUCAUUACUGGGUAAAGGCCUCGCGCCUCCAACCCCACCCUCCGUAACCGCGGCCCGGAUUCGGCGCUCGGCGGAGCCCCCCUCUGUUCGCGGAGGGUGCCCCGCCUGCCGGAAUCAGCCAACCCUUUGUAAACUGAAGUCUGAGAACAAGUAAAAUUAAACAAAACUUUCAACAACGGAUCUCUUGGUUCUG